rnacentral:lncRNA from 1 species
GCGACGACAACAGAAGGCAACAACAUGAAGGCUAUCGUAUACCUUUUAGUGGUGCUGGCUGUGGUGUGUACAGCCCUGGCGGUGCCUGGCCCAGCGCCCUUCCCGCGCCCUGGCCCUAUUCAAGUGGCUGCUGAGCCCAGAGAGACUCUCCGUGGCAGCGAACAGUACUACUACUACUACCCCUAUGUCUAUGGAUAAACUUGGAUCGAAUCACCUCGAGCUGUUAAUAAUGGAUUUAUCGACUUGGCACUGAAAUGAAACUUCUCCUGGCCAUUUUCUCCAUGUUUGUUAUAUUCUUAAUGUUCUCACUCACCCAAUAAAUUUCAUUUCUUCUUUCACAA